rnacentral:misc_RNA from 1 species
CCAAUAGCGUAUAUUAAAGUUGCUGCAGUUAAAAAGCUCGUAGUUGAAUUUCGGGACUAAUAUGUUGGUCGUGCCUCGGUACGUACUGAUAUUUUUGGUUUCUCCCUUCUGACGAACCUUGAUGUCAUUAAUUUGGUGUCUUGGGAAAUCAGGACUGUUACUUUGAAAAAAUUAGAGUGUUUAAAGCAGGCUCACGCUUGAAUACAUUAGCAUGGAAUAAUGAAAUAGGACGUUUGAUUCUAUUUUGUUGGUUUCUAGGAUUGACGUAAUGAUUAAUAGGGAUAGUUGGGGGUAUUAGUAUUCAAUUGUCAGAGGUGAAAUUCUUGGAUUUAUUGAAGACUAACUACUGCGAAAGCAUUUGCCAAGGAUGUUUUCAUUAAUCAAGAACGAAAGUUAGGGGAUCGAAGACGAUCAGAUACCGUCGUAGUCUUAACCAUAAACUAUGCCGACUAGGGAUCGGGUGAUGUUAAUUUUUUAAUGACUCAUUCGGCGCCUUACG